AUUGAACGCUGGCGGCAUGCUUUACACAUGCAAGUCGAACGGUAACAGGCCUUCGGGUGCUGACGAGUGGCGAACGGGUGAGUAAUGCAUCGGAACGUACCCAGAGGUGGGGGAUAACGCAGCGAAAGCUGUGCUAAUACCGCAUGUGUUCUGAGGAUGAAAGCGGGGGACCGAGCAGCAAUGUUUGGCCUCGCGCCUUUGGAGCGGCCGAUGUCGGAUUAGCUAGUUGGUGGGGUAAAGGCCUACCAAGGCGACGAGCCGUAGCUGGUCUGAGAGGACGACCAGCCACACUAGAACUGAGACACGGCCCAGACUCCUACGGGAGGCAGCAGUGGGGAAUUUUGGCCAAUAGGCGCAAGCCUGAUACAGCAAUGCCGCGUGCGGGAAGAAGGCCUUCGGGUUGUAAACCGCUUUUGGCAGGAACGAAACGGUGUCCGCUAAUACCGGGCGCUAAUGACGGUACCUGCAGAAUAAGCACGGGCUAACUACGUG
rnacentral:rRNA from 1 species